UACGUAUGGUGCAAGCGUUAUCCGGAUUUACUGGGUGUAAAGGGAGCGCAGGCGGUGCGGCAAGUCUGAUGUGAAAGCCCGGGGCUCAACCCCGGUGCUGCAUUGGAAACUGUCGUACUAGAGUGUCGGAGGGGUAAGUGGAAUUCCUAGUGUAGCGGUGAAAUGCGUAGAUAUUAGGAGGAACACCAGUGGCGAAGGCGGCUUACUGGACGAUAACUGACGCUGAGGCUCGAAAGCGUGGGGAGCAAACAGG
rnacentral:rRNA from 1 species